rnacentral:rRNA from 1 species
CCUACGGGGGGCUGCAGUGAGGAAUAUUGGUCAAUGGGCGCGAGCCUGAACCAGCCAAGCCGCGUGAGGGAAGACGGUACAGCGUAUCGUAAACUUCUUUUGUCAGGGAAUAAAGUCGGGGACUAGUCCCCGGAUGAAUGUACCUUAAGAAAAAGCAUCGGCUAACUCCGUGCCAGCAGCCGCGGUAAUACGGAGGAUGCGAGCGUUAUCCGGAUUUAUUGGGUUUAAAGGGUGCGGAGGGGGGCUGUUAAGUUAAGGGUAAAAGCCCGGGGGUCAACCCCGGAAGUGCAUUUGAUACUGGCGGGCGGGAGGUGGGUAGAGGUAGGCGGAAUGCGGGGUGUAGCGGUGAAAUGCUUAGAUAUCACGAAGAACUCCGAUUGCGAAGGCAGCUUAC